CCCUCCUGUGAGCCAUGAACCUUUGCAGAAAGUCUUUCUGUCAUAAGUCAGAUGGAAGAAAAGGGGAGAAUCUGCCCGUUAAAAGCAUCUCACCAAAUACAGAUGGCCUGAAAACAUCAUCUGGGAUUCACCUCCUCUUUGUGAGGACACCCUGCAGUACCAAGCACCUUUAAGGGAGAGGAUCAACUGGAUCUGGUGAAAUGAGCCAGGAUCUGAAGUGGUGGACCUCCCGCAGGCAGGGAAGAGCCCCCCCCUGAGAAAGCACAACCCCCAGCACCUGCACAGGGUCAGGACAGCAAAG